GUUCCUGCCAAAGGUUUCCAUUCCUUCUUUGAGCCACAUGGGCAGCGACUCCCCAUGCGAUACCACUGAAGGAGUGAUGAUCACCAAAAAGAGAAGACAAGACAGUGAGAAAUGAGCAGCUGGAGGUAUGCAGGGUGUGGGAGGGAAGGAGGAUUUCCCAAAGCAGGUCACCGACAAAACAGACGCCUUCUCCUAUUGCAGCUCUGUCCCCUGUCCCAACUGCCACCGCUGCACCCUGCUCCCACCGGCUCUGCUCCCCUGGCAGUGUAGAGGGUGGUGGGACCUUCUGUGCUCUAACUGGGGGGACAGGAAUGGAUUUCAGCUGCUGACUCACUGGCACAACAGCCUGCUGCAGUCAAGUAAGGACCACGGCGAUCCCCUUUGUGCACGGGUCACUAGUACUGCUGACAUCCAUUAAUCCUGGAGAUGGACUCAACACUGAAGGAGGGGAAGGGUUCUCACAGACCCCAGGUAAUGAGACUAUUAGACCUUGACCUUUACUAAUUCACUUCCCAGUUUUCUGAAUAGGUGUUUCCGUGUGACUGUACGACUGGACUUUGCAGAACUGCCCUGUUUCACAUCAGCCUUAUCACACAAAGAGAGAAGACGGACUGAGAGUCCUGAGUCUGCAAAAAAUGCCCUGGUCUUCCAAGAUACGUUAGCUUUUCUGUUCGUUUGGAUACUUAGCUUCUCUUAAAAAAAAAAAAAAAAGUUUUUUAAAAAGGAAGAUCUGAACUCUUUAUAGAAGAAACAGAGGAGAAGGAAAAGGUACAUUAGAAAGGUGAGUGAAUUGCAAUAGAGAAGGUCUUAUUUAUUUCUUCCAAGCAAAUUGGCAUCCAAGACACAUGUAAAGGGUAUUACCCUCCUGCUUGAGGUCAUCAGUCAAUUGCUAGUUUGAGCUGGGAAGAAAAUUUCCCGAUAGGGAUGUCAUUGCACAGUUAUUAUUUCUGGGACUACGGCACCUGCUGCCAGCCACUGCUUGCCCUAGAGGGACUAUUUGUCAUGAACCCAGUUGAGUAAUCAUCUUUGUUAUA